AGUGAACGUUGGCGGCGUGGAUUAGGCAUGCAAGUCGAGCGAUCGUAGCAAUACGGGAGCGGCAAACGGGGUAGGAAUACAUCGGAACGUACCUUUUGGUUGAGAAUAGCGUUGGGAAACUGACGGUAAUACUCAAUAAAGUCGAGAGACCAAAGGUUUACUGCCGGAAGAGCGGCCGAUGCGAUAUUAGGUAGUUGGUGGGGUAAUGGCCUACCAAGCCUGAGAUGUCUAGGGGUGUGAGAGCAUGGCCCCACCACUGGGACUGAGAUACUGCCCAGACACCUACGGGUGGCUGCAGUCGAGGAUCUUCGUCAAUGGGCGAAAGCCUGAACGAGCGACGCCGCGUGCGGGAUGAAGGCCCUUGGGUUGUAAACCGCUGUCAGGGGGAUGAACCGUAAGGUUGACAGAGCCCCAGACGGAAGCACGGGCUAAGUUCGUGCCAGCAGCCGCGGUAAU
rnacentral:rRNA from 1 species